GAUGAAGAACGCAGCGAAAUGCGAUAAGUAAUGUGAAUUGCAGAAUUCAGUGAAUCAUCGAAUCUUUGAACGCACAUUGCGCCCGCCAGUAUUCUGGCGGGCAUGCCUGUUCGAGCGUCAUUUCAACCAUCAAGCCCCAGGCUUGUGUUGGGGACCUGCGGCUGCCGCAGGCCCUGAAAACCAGUGGCGGGCUCGCUGUCACACCGAGCGUAGUAGCAUACAUCUCGCUCUGGGCGUGCUGCGGGUUCCGGCCGUUAAACCACCUUCAUAACCCAAGGUUGACCUCGGAUCAGGUAGGAAGACCCGCUGAACUUAAGCAUAUCAAUAAGCGGAGGA
rnacentral:misc_RNA from 1 species